rnacentral:rRNA from 1 species
GUACACACCGCCCGUCACACCAUGGGAGUGGGUUUCRCCAGAAGCAGRUAGUCUAACCGCRAGGAGGGCGYUUGCCACGRUGAGAUUCAUGACUGGGGUGAAGUCGUAACAAGGUAKCCGUAGRUGAACCUGCAGAAGGAUCA